UUGCACGCUGGCGGCAGGCCUAACACAUGCAAGUCGAACGGUAACAGGAAGAAGCUUGCUUCUUUGCUGACGAGUGGCGGACGGGUGAGUAAUGUCUGGGAAACUGCCUGAUGGAGGGGGAUAACUACUGGAAACGGUAGCUAAUACCGCAUAAUGUCGCAAGACCAAAGAGGGGGACCUUCGGGCCUCUUGCCAUCGGAUGUGCCCAGAUGGGAUUAGCUAGUAGGUGGGGUAACGGCUCACCUAGGCGACGAUCCCUAGCUGGUCUGAGAGGAUGACCAGCCACACUGGAACUGAGACACGGUCCAGACUCCUACGGGAGGCAGCAGUGGGGAAUAUUGCACAAUGGGCGCAAGCCUGAUGCAGCUAUGCCGCGUGUAUGAAGAAGGCCUUCGGGUUGUAAAGUACUUUCAGCGGGGAGGAAGGGAGUAAAGUUAAUACCUUUGCUCAUUGACGUUACCCGCAGAAGAAGCACCGGCUAACUCCGUG
rnacentral:rRNA from 1 species